rnacentral:rRNA from 1 species
UACGAAGGGGGCUAGCGUUGUUCGGAAUUACUGGGCGUAAAGCGCGCGCAGGCGGUCCUUUAAGUCGGGGGUGAAAGCCCAGAGCUCAACUCUGGAACUGCCUUCGAAACUAGAGGACUUGGGUACGGGAGAGGUGAGUGGAAUUCCGAGUGUAGAGGUGAAAUUCGUAGAUAUUCGGAAGAGCACCAGUGGCGAAGGCGGCUCACUGGCCCGUUACCGACGCUCAGGCGCGACAGCGUGGGGAGCAAACAGG